AAAAAAUGUAAAUAUUCAAUGAAGAAAUAAUCGAACGAAGAGGGGAGAAGCUUAGGAGAAAUGGAGGGUAUUCAAGUGAAGGUUAUUUUUACAAAUCACUUCACUCUUCUCGAUGUAAUUUGGCGCGUAAUGGCAUCAAACGCGAAGGACUUUAAAAAAAGAAGAGUAAAAAGAGCAUUCUCCAAUCUGGAGUUGAAACUUGGAACCCACUAUCGUCAAUGGAGUUGGAGUACUUAAUUUUCUCAUUUGCCCCAAAAAUUUCAACAGCCAGUACGGAAACGUCCUUAAUGGCUUUGUCCUCGGGAAUCUCCGCUUGUAUAAUUGGGUUGUCUGCCAUGUCUCUAACUGUGUCGUGGACUUUAGUGUCAUCUAACAUUGAACCUUCUUCAGUUUCAUGACCUGCAUCAUAUGCAAAUGCUUAUUACGUCUCCAAUAAACUCCAUAAAUUAUGACAUCCUCAUAAGAGAAACCUUCAUUGACAGUUUUUUCAAACUGUCCAGUAGUUAAGUACACAUCUUCCACUUGACCUUUCUGCAUGAAGAAAUUUUAUGUACAUUAGAUUUGAUAUGGGAGCUUUACAUGUACAAUAAAGGCAGAGCACCUAAGUAGGACGUGAAAAGAGAUGGGUGUUGUCGCCGGUGAAGAGUUGAGCUUGGUGGGGUAUUUUUCUGAAGGUAGGUGGUGUGCUCGGGUGAAAAAUGAGAAACUGAAAAAAUGGAAACUGAGGGAUGAAAUCACGAGAGCGGCAUUUUGGAGCAUAUUUUUUCAACAAUCAAUAACUUAGGCAUUGGAAGCUCAAAUGUCCCUUUCCAAUCCCAUGUUGGAUAUGUUAUAUUAUACAUAUAAACAUAUUGGUGGCUAUAUUAUUAUAUAAUAUAUUUAGUAUAAAAGUGUAUUUUCCCGUACUAUCCAUAUAUGAUUUUGACCUAUGAAGAAGAGGAAUCGAAUUAGAAUGCAAACACGCACGGAC